ensembl:lncRNA
GGAUUCUCGAAGAGCAAAUGUGUGAUUUUCGGGUUAAAUGGGGGAUUCUCGAAGAGCAAACGCGUGAUUUUCGGGUUAAAUGGGGGAUUCUCAAAGAGAAAACGCGUGAUUUUCGCUUAAAUGGGGGAUUCUCGAAGAGAAAACGCGUGAUUUUCGGGUUAAAAGGGGGAUUUCCGAAGAGAAAACGUGUGAUUUUCGGGAUAAAUGGCAGAUUUCCGAAGAGAAAACGCGUGAUUUUCAGGUUAAGUGGGGGAUUCUCGGAGAGCAAACGCGUGAUUUUUCACUUAAAUGGGGGAUUCUCGAAGAGAAAACGCGUGAUUUUCGGAAUAAGUGGGGGAUUCUCAAAGAAAAAACGGAUGAUUUUUUCUUAAAUGGCAAAUUUCAAAAUAUAAGCCGCGUGAUUUUCAAGUUAAAUGGGUGAUUAUCAAAGAGAAAACGCAUGAUUUUCUCUUAAAUGGGGGAUUCUCGAAGAGCAAAUGUGUGAUUUUCGGGUUAAAUGGGGGAUUCUCGAAGAGAAAAUGCGUGAUUUUCCGGUUAAGUGGGGGAUUCUCGAAGAGAAAACGCGUGAUUUUUGGUUUAAAUGGGGGAUUCUCGAAGAGAAAACGCGUGAUUUUCGGUUAAAUGGGGGAUUUUCGAAGAGAAACCACCUGAUUUUCGCUUAAAUGGGAGAUGUCCGAAUUGAAAACGCGUGAUUUUCGCUUAAAUGGGGGAUUUGCGAAGAAAACGCGUGAUUUUCGCUUAAACGCGGGAUUCUCGAAGAGAAACCACCGGAUUUUCGCAUAAAUGAAGGAUUUGCGAAGAGGAAGCGGGUGAUUUUUGCUUAAACAGGGGAUUCUCGAAGAGAAAAUGUGUGAUUUUCGGCUUCAAUGUAGGAUUUCCGAAGAGAAAACGCGUGUUUUUUGGGUUAAAUGGGGAAGUUCCGAAUAGAAAACGCGUGAUUUUCAAGUUAAAUGGGUGAUUAUCAAAGAGAAAACGCAUGAUUUUCUCUUAAAUGGGGGAUUCUCGAAGAGCAAAUGUGUGAUUUUCGGGUUAAAUGGGGGAUUCUCGAAGAGCAAACGCGUGAUUUUCGGGUUAAAUGGGGGAUUCUCGAAGAGAAAACGCGUGAUUUUCGCUUAAAUGGGGGAUUCUCGAAAAGAAAACGUGUGAUUUUCGGGUUAAAAGGGGGAUUUCCGAAGAGAAAACACGUGAUUUUCGGGUUAAAUGGGGGAUUCUCGAAGAGAAAAUGCGUGAUUUUCGGGUUAAAUGAGGGAUUCUCGAAGAGAAAGCGCGUGAUUUUCAGGUUAAGUGGGGGAUUCUCGGAGAGAAAACGCGUGAUUUUCCGGUUAAAUGGGGGAUUCUCGAAGAGAAAACGCGUGAUUUUCGGGAUAAGUGGGGGAUUCUCAAAGAAAAAACGGGUGAUUUUUUCUUAAAUGGCAAAUUUCAAAAUAUAAGCCGCGUGAUUUUCAAGUUAAAUGGGUGAUUAUCAAAGAGAAAAUGCGUGAUUUUGGGGUUAAAUGGGGGAUUCUCGAAGAGAAAAUGCGUGAUUUUCACUUAAAUGGGGGAUUCUCGAAGAGACAACGCGUGAUUUUCGGGUUAAGUGGGGG